UACGGAGGGUGCAAGCGUUAUCCGGAUUCACUGGGGUUAAAGGGUGCGUAGGCGGGUAUGUAAGUCAGCGGUGAAAUCCCCGAGCUUAACUUGGGAACUGCCGUUGAUACUAUAUAUCUUGAAUGUCGUGGAGGUUAGCGGAAUAUGUCAUGUAGCGGUGAAAUGCUUAGAUAUGACAUAGAACACCCAUUGCGAAGGCAGCUGGCUACACGAAUAUUGACACUGAGGCACGAAAGCGUGGGGAUCAAACAGG
rnacentral:rRNA from 1 species